rnacentral:rRNA from 1 species
AUUGAACGCUGGCGGCAUGCUUUACACAUGCAAGUCGGACGAGUGGCGAACGGGUGAGUAAUGUCUCGGAACGUACCUAGUACUGGGGGAUAACUAAUCGAAAGAUUAGCUAAUACCGCAUAUUAUUGGAUCGGCCGAUAUCUGAUUGGAUAGUUGGGGGGGUAAAGGCCUACCAGGGCGACGAUCCGUGUCGGGUCUGAGAGGAUGACCCGCCACACUGGGAUUGAGACCCGGCCCAGACUCCUACGGGAGGCAUCAGUGGGGAAUUUUGGACAAUGGGCGCAAGCCUGAUCCAGACAUGCCGCGGGUAUGAAGAAGGCCUUCGGGUUGUAAAGGACUUUUGUCAGGUAAGCGGUACCUGAAGAAUAAGCACCGGCUAACUACGUGCCAGCAGCCGCGGUAAUUC